GGAAAAGAAACUAACAAGGAUUCCCCUAGUAACGGCGAGUGAAGAGGGAAAAGCCCAAGAUUGAAAGCUGGCGUCUUCGGCGUCCGCAUUGUAAUCUCAAGAAGUGUUUUCCGCUUCGGACCAAGCCUAAGUUUCCUGGAAAGGAGCAUCGUAGAGGGUGAAAAUCCCGUACAUGGUUUGGAGCGCCCGGAGCUUUGUGAUACAUUUUCUAAGAGUCGAGUUGUUUGGGAAUGCAGCUCAAAAUGGGUGGUAAAUGCCAUCUAAGGCUAAAUAUUGGGGAGAGACCGAUAGCGAACAAGUACAGUGAUGGAAAGAUGAAAAGAACUUUGAAAAGAGAGUUAAACAGUACGUGAAAUUGCCAAAAGGGAAGGGUAGGAGGUCAGAGAUGGGGCCUGGGAUUCAGCCUUGCUUUUGCUCGGUGUAUUUCCCAAGUCGCAGGCCAACGUCGGUUUUGGACACUGGAGAAGGGUAAGAGGAAUGUGGCACUCUUCGGAGUGUGUUAUAGCCUCUUACUGGAUGCAGCGGCCGAGACCGAGGAACGCAGCGUACUCGUAAGAGCGGGCCUUCGGGCACCUUUACGCUUAGGGCGUUGGCAUAAUGGCCUUCUACCACCCGUC
rnacentral:rRNA from 1 species